AAAACGACUCUCGGCAACGGAUAUCUCGGCUCUCGCAUCGAUGAAGAACGCAGCGAAAUGCGAUACUUGGUGUGAAUUGCAGAAUCCCGUGAACCAUUGAGUCUUUGAACGCAAGUUGCGCCCGAAGCCAUUAGGCCGAGGGCACGUCUGCCUGGGCGUCACGC
rnacentral:rRNA from 1 species